CCUACGGGCGACAGCAGUGGGGGAUAUUGCACAAUGGGGGAAACCCUGAUGCAGCGACGCCGCGUGAGUGAAGAAGGAUUUCGGUAUGUAAAGCCCUAUCAGCAGGGAAGAAAGAAGACGGUACCUGACUAAGAAGCCCCGGCUAACUACGUACCAGCAGCCGCGGUAAUACGUAGGGGGCGAGCGUUAUCCGGAUUCACUGGGUGUAAAGGGAGCGUAGACGGCCGGGCAAGCCAGGGGUGAAAGCCCGGGGCCCAACCCCGGGACUGCGCUUGGAACUGUGCGGCUGGAGUGCGGGAGGGGCAGGCGGAAUUCCUGGUGUAGCGGUGAAAUGCGUAGAUAUCAGGAGGAACACCGGCGGCGAAGGCGGCCUGCUGGACCGCGACUGACGUUGAGGCUCGAAAGCGUGGGGAGCGAACAGGAUUAGAUACCCUUGUAGUC
rnacentral:rRNA from 1 species